UUCUAAUUAGAGUUUAGCGUUAAGUAUACAUUUACUUCUGGUUAUAUUUAUUCAGGAUUUUCCCCCAACUGGCCAUACAGUAAUGUGUUUUGAUUUUGAAAGUAAACAAAAGAUGCCUAACUCAACUCAUUAAAACUCCCUUUGUGGGAUCUCAAGAACAAGCCUGUCUGUGGCACCAUACAGCAUUUUGUGCUCAACCCCUACGUCACAUUCCUUCUUGCGUAGGAAGAACUGGCGGUGUUUGCAACACAGCUCAGGUCUGUCUUGCUCAAGAGAUCACCUGUGUCAUCAGAUUGUAUUUCUGCACCUCUGUUUUUCAAAGUAAUUCAGGCUGGUGCUCCUCAGUUCACAAAGAGAGAAGAACAAUGAUAGGUCUGAUAAUGAAGUGGAUCACAGCACACCAGAUUGCAGUUUAUUCAAAGACAGAACAGUCUGUACCCAGGCUCCAUCUGAUCUCUGCAAGCUGUCCUGUGGAUAUCAGUUCUUGCACCUUGUGGUUCAUGGUUUGAUUAUGGGGUAACUGAACAUGCUCAAAGCUCGUUUCCAUGUAACAACACUCACAUGAUGUACUGGGCUUUGGCCAGUGCUGCGUCCAGGUGAAAGUGGCUACACCCUCCCCUUGUACAGGCCAGCCCUGAAGACUCCCUCACUGUCAACAACUUGCCAUAUAAUCCAGAAAGGAAUUGUGCAUCAGCAAGUGCACAAGUCACUGUAGAUCACCUUCAGACUACCCUACACACAGCAAAAGACUCAGCUGUCCAACACACAAAUGGUUGAUCUCUGUGUGUCCGUUUCCAGUAUGCACGUCUGCCUUUAAUAAAGAUUUCUCCCUUGAAGGAUGACAAGAAGAAGAAGAACUAAUGGACAAACUGUGGUAAAAAGAAGAUCUAAUUGUGGCCAGGGAAGAGUGGAAUGAGAGGAUGUGAGAGGAACAGCUCUGCAGGCACCAAGGUCAGUGCAGAAGGAGGGACAGGAGGUGCUCCAGGUGCUGAGAUUCCCCUGCAGCCCCUGGUACAGCCCAUGGUGAGGCAGCUGUGCCCCAUGGAGAACCACCCACAGUCCAUGGAGGAACUCCUGCUGGAGCGGGUGACUGCCUGAAAGAAGACCUUGUGGAAAGCCCAUUCUGGAACAGGCUCCUGGUGGGACUUGUGGCCCCAUGGAGUGAGGAGCCUGCACUGGAGCAGGUUUGCUGGCAGGACUUGUGACUUCAUGGGGACCCAGAGGGGAGCAGUUUGUGACGAAGUGUGGCUCACAGAAAGGACUCAUGUCCUCACGUGGAGGACUGUCUCCCAUGGGAAGCACGCCACAAUGGAGCAGGGGAAGGACUCCUCUCCCUAAGAAGGAAGUAGUGGCAGGAACAAUGUGAUGAACUAACCAUAAUCUCCCAUUCCCUGUCUCCCUGCACUGCCCAAGGGCAUGAAAUAGAGAAUGAAGAAUGAAGCCCAGGAGGGAGGGAAAGGACAGGGAAAGGUAUUUUUAAGAUUUGCUUUACUUCUCAAUUAUCCUGUUCUGUUUUCAGUUGGUAAUAAAUUUAACGAAUUUCCAUAAACAGCUCUGGUUUUGCUGUGACAUAAAUGGUGAGUGACCUCUCCCUGCCAUUAUCCCAGCUUAUGAAUUUUUGUUAUAUUUCCUCUCCCCUGUUCAGCUGAGGAGAAGAGUGAUAGAGUGGCUAUGGUGGGCAGGUGGCAUUCAGCUAAAGUCAAGAGUCUUCUGACUCUUUCCAGA